rnacentral:rRNA from 1 species
UACGGAGGGUGCAAGCGUUGCUCGGAAUUAUUGGGCGUAAAGGGUAGGUAGGUGGUCUCAUUUGUCUGAGGUGAAAGCCUUGGGCUUAACCCAAGAAGUGCCUCAGAAACGGUGAGACUUGAGUCCUGGAGAGGGUCGUGGAAUUCCCGGUGUAGCGGUGAAAUGCGUAGAGAUCGGCAGGAACACCCAGGGGGAAACCAGUGGACUGGGCAUGUGCUGACGCUCAGGUGCGAAAGCGUGGGGAGCGAACCGG